rnacentral:misc_RNA from 1 species
UACGUAGGGACCGAGCGUUGUCCGGAGUUACUGGGCGUAAAGGGCGCGCAGGCGGCCGACCGCGUCGGGUGUGAAAGCCCUCCGCUCAACGGAGGAGAGUCGCUCGAAACGGGUCGGCCGGAGGCAGGGAGAGGUCGGUGGAAUUCCCGGUGUAGUGGUGAUAUGCGUAGAGAUCGGGAGGAACACCAGUGGCGAAGGCGGCCGACUGGACCUGUCCUGACGCUGAGGCGCGAAGGCGUGGGGAGCGAACGGG